rnacentral:rRNA from 1 species
AGUGAACGCUGGCGGCAGGCCUAACACAUGCAAGUCGAGCGGCAGCGCGUCCGACCACCCUCGGGUGGUCGGAUGGCGGCGAGCGGCGGACGGGUGAGGAAUGCAUCGGAAUCUGCCUCGUUGUGGGGGAUAACGUAGGGAAACUUACGGCUAAUACCGCAUACGACCUACGGGUGAAAGUGGGGGACCUUCGGGCCUCACGCGAUGAGAUGAGCCGAUGCCGGAUUAGCUAGUUGGCGGGGUAAAGGCCCACCAAGGCGACGAUCCGUAGCUGGUCUGAGAGGAUGAUCAGCCACACUGGAACUGAGACACGGUCCAGACUCCUACGGGAGGCAGCAGUGGGGAAUAUUGGACAAUGGGCGCAAGCCUGAUCCAGCCAUUCCGCGUGCAGGAUGAAGGCCUUCGGUUGUAACGUAGACUUUGUACGGUAACGAAAGGUUUACCGUUAA